GGUACCACGGCAGCGACUUGGCCAUAUGAAGCCUGUUGCUUCCCCUUAUAUCCUCUAGAUACAGCGUUCGUUUCACCCUCUCUUUUCUUCUGGAAGCCUCCAGAAUACUUUUUCGGUGCGCUAGGGGUUGCCACGGCUCCUGAAAUCUUUCCAUCCCUCAGACCCUUUUCUAUGCGAUCUCCGAUUGUGACCAGAUGCGCAAAAUCG
rnacentral:lncRNA from 1 species